CACGGCGGCUGGCGGGGCUGGGCUGGCCGAGCACUGCGCGCCGGCGGCUGACGGGGCAGAGCACACGACGCCGCCUACGCGCGAGCUGCAGUCUCCUACCGUCGUCGCCGCCAGUACAGGAGGGGGGCCAAGACGUCUCUCCAACGAGGGGCUAGUGCAGGACCGCGUCAGGCGUCCAAAAGAAGGAAGAUGCCUCGCGGCGACAGAGAAAGCGACUGGAGGGAAAAGGAGCAGUUCCGCAAACUCUUUAUUGGCGGCUUGAGCUUUGAAACAACAGAGGAGAGCUUGAGGAGCUACUAUGAGCAAUGGGGAAAGCUUACAGACUGUGUGGUAAUGAGGGAUCCUGCAAGCAAGAGAUCAAGAGGGUUUGGUUUUGUAACGUUCUCCUCCAUGGCUGAAGUUGAUGCAGCUAUGGCUGCAAGACCUCACACAAUUGAUGGAAGGGUGGUUGAGCCUAAAAGAGCUGUGGCCAGAGAAGAAUCUGGAAAACCUGGUGCUCAUGUUACUGUGAAAAAACUAUUUGUUGGCGGUAUUAAAGAGGAUACUGAAGAGCACCACCUUCGUGACUACUUUGAGGAAUAUGGAAAAAUUGACACUAUUGAAAUCAUUACUGACAGACAGUCUGGUAAAAAGAGAGGAUUUGGGUUUGUUACAUUUGAUGACCAUGAUCCUGUGGAUAAAAUUGUAUUGCAGAAGUAUCACACCAUCAACGGCCAUAAUGCAGAAGUGAGGAAAGCUCUCUCUAGGCAGGAAAUGCAGGAAGUUCAGAAUUCUAGGAGUGGGAGAGGAGGGAACUUCGGUUUUGGUGAUGCACGUGGAGGUGGUGGCAACUUUGGUCCAGGACCUGGCAGCAAUUUCAGAGGAGGAGCUGAUGGAUAUGGAAGUGGCCGUGGAUUUGGUGAUGGGUAUAAUGGAUAUGGUGGAGGACCUGGAGGUGGCAACUUUGGUGGAAGUCCUGGUUAUGGAGGUGGAAGAGGAGGAUAUGGUGGAGGAGGACCUGGAUAUGGCAACCAGGGUGGGGGCUAUGGAGGUGGUUAUGACAACUAUGGAGGAGGCAAUUAUGGAAGUGGAAACUAUAAUGACUUUGGAAACUAUAACCAACAACCUUCAAAUUACGGUCCAAUGAAAAGUGGAAAUUUUGGUGGCAGCAGGAACAUGGGUGGACCAUAUGGUGGAGGAAACUAUGGUCCAGGGGGUAGUGGAGGGAGUGGUGGUUAUGGAGGGAGGAGCCGUUACUGAGUUUCUACAAGCAUGCUAUGGCUAUGAUUUGAACCCUGGACAAGCAUAGACUGCUGCUACUGUACACUGCUACAGUUGAACAAAUGAGACCUGCAAGUGUCCAUUAGUAAAGCUUUGCAAGGGUUCCAUCCCUGGUGUUGGUAGUUAAAAUGGAAGGUGCCAUGCUGCAGGUAACUAAUGAAGAAGUGGUCAACCACAGAAACGCUUCAAGAAAUAAGAAAUUCUGUAUCAUCAGAAAAUAGUUGUUUUUUGCUGCCUUCAUUAAAAAAAUUAGAGGUUAAAUGAAUACUGAUAAAAGAUCACAAUUAGUACAGCUCCCUGUAAUGCUGGGUUUUUUAAAAUGACAGUAAUAAUGUCUUGUAAACAUUUCUAAUAAAAUACAGAUUUCUUAGGAGAAACAAAUCACUAAUGUUAAAAUAGCAAACAUUCUGUGAGUAGAAAAUUUAACUACAUAUUUUUAUAACUUUCAUAGCUUUAAAAUAAAGUAUUUUUUAUACCAAAGUAGUUCUAGUGUAAUGCUUAAUAAAACAUAGUGUGUGUCUAACAUUAAAUAAUGUUUACGUGCAGCUUUUAGACCCUUUCAUGAUUGGAAACAUUCCAUUUAAAGGUGGAUUUAAAACAAAGUCAACUUGUGAAGCAUAUUGACAGAACUUGUAUCUGACCAUAGGCAUCUGUUCCCUGUUGGGAGAAACAGUGCUACAAAUUAAAAAUGCUGAUCUUAUUGCUGUUGGACACAAUUGCUUUAAAAUAGCUUUUUGGCUGCAUUUUAUAUCACUAUAAAUUUCUCCUUGCCUGUUAAUGAAACUAACCACUUAAGACUGUCAAAAUGUGAUAGGACAAUAGCUUUUCAGCCUUUUCAUCUGUAAAGAGUUUUUAGCAUCAAGAAAGACUGAAUGGAAUGUAGAGUUCUGUUCUACUAGAACUGUGUUACUGAUAGCUGCAUCUUGCUGGGGUUAAAAAACCAACAAACAAAAACCAAACAAACCCAAAACCUAUCAAACCAAAUAAGUUUGGGAAAGCUUCAGUUGGGAAUGUAAUUGAGGAAAGUUACCUUCAGUCUGUACUGUUUAACCUGUUGCCUGCAUACAUGGUUUCUUUUAAACUUGAAAUUUACAUGCUUUAUUUUAGCAGAAUCGUGAUGUCUUUAACCUUCUUUAUAUAGUUCAGAAAUAUUUAAGGGUUUAUAUAUAACUUUUUUUCUGCUUUUGAAGUUGCACUCUGAAAUAACCUGCAUAGGUCACCAGUGAGCUGCAGUGGAAGCAGAAAAUGAGGAUGCACAAAAUUGCUUUAUUUUCUUCUUUCCAACAGUUGACCAGAUGAUCAGGAAUUUGCCUUCUUCCACGUAACUUAGGUUUAGUUGAUUCAAUGAAGUUUUUCUUUUACAGUCACCAAGACCACAUUCAUACGUUGUUAAACCACCACAAACUUCAAAGGGGAAUAACGACUCUUUUGUGUUUGAGAUGCUUAUGAUGUUUUCAGUGGCUUUGUACAAGGUUUAAAAUUUAAGUAUAUUUCCCAGAAGGAGGAUGUUUCGUUACCAGUGUACCAGCAGUGGGGGAAGGGAGUGUAGGGGACAGCAGAUGCAAAAAAAACCAAGUUAAUGGAUAUUUAAAGUCUUGAAAGCUUGGAGCAUUUCAGUAAGUUUUGUUUGUCUUACUGUUGAACUUGUGAUUUUUUUUUUUUUUCUUUCUUGGUAUGGUCUUAAGAAUCGAAGUCAGUGUCAAUCACAGUGUUCAUUGAUGAAUUCAGUGAGAGAAGUCAACGUUUUGAGGCAGCCUGAUAUGGAAAGCUAGCAGGUUUGAAUAAAAGCAACAGUCUGGUCAGUUGGUGGUCCUACUUUUCUAAUUUCUAAGAAGUUUGGUUUAUGUUACUCUACAGACUUUUUAAAAGUAAGGAGUACGUUGCAAGUCAGAACAUUUCAGUGCGCUGAGAACCGAGGGUCACAGGAUCACAGGAUGUUAAGGGUUGAAAGGGGGGACCUAAGGAGAUUGAGUCCAACCCACGUCAUGUCAGUACAAGGCCUAGCUCAUUCCCUGCAAACAUUGUGUAGCAAACUGAGGAAAGAAUGUGACAAUUUGGUGGUAACCAGUAUGGGAGGGGAAUAAUGAAAAAGGGCACAUUAAACUUUAGAAAGUGGUGAAAAGAGGUCAUUACUGGGGUCCUGACCACUCUGCUCUCUGUCUUCCAAAGAAGGUUCAGUUCUACUCUGUUCACAUUAUUUGUGCUUUGGGUGCUGGAAAGCAUUUAGGGUAACAAAAACUCUAAAGCUAGGAAUUGAAUGUGGUCAUGUGUGGGGUGGAAGAUUACAUGUUUUUAGGUUUGUGAUGAGUAUAUGUGGGGAUGAGAUCACUCCUGGGGAAGAAAAAUCCCCCAAAACAUAGGAAGGUGUUUUGAAAUAGCUUUCAGCAGAGUAUUUUGACAGCUUGACCAUAUGUGUGAAAGGAUUUGCUGAGAACAUGCUGGAACAGACAUUCCCUGCAGCUUUAGCAUUUUGGUUUGUUUGCAGAGCAAGAGUGCAUGAUGCCAGUCAAAUCCUGUAGUAAUGCUGUAACUUUCUUUUCCUCCCAAGGGAGGUGCCAGGUUCUCAUUCAUGCAGCAAUACUGGUAGGAAUGUGCAUGAGUGUGACAGGGAAGGGCUUUGCUGGGUAACAUUGAUCUGUUUUAUCAGAAACCACACGGUUCCUUUUAACAGUUGUGUUCUUGCUUUACAGCUAGUGUCGAUUUGCACUACACCAGAAGCUUGUGUUGUUAUUCCAGUUGAUGUAGCAAGAACUGUUUUAUUUAUCAACACAAAAUGUUUCAGUGGUUGUGUGACUUGCCUGAGAAGUGCUAUGAACAUACUAGGUCAGCAGCACUUGGGUUGCUUACAGGCUGGCUUGUGUGUCCUGUGCUGCUUCAUUGUAUGAAUGUGACUAUGGGCACAUCGUAGAAAAUUGUUGUGGUGACCCUCUCGGAGCUCUCACCAACACAUGAUCCAUCCUCUCCCUCUACUACUCUGAUUCUUACGUGGUCUGUUCUUUCUUGGUCCAUUUUGGGGCAUUCUUGUAUGAAAAUGUUGCAUUUACUGGAGUUCCAGUAACUGUAGCAAGUACCAAGCUGCAGUGCUUUUCUGAAGUAUUCUACAGUAAUAAGACUCCACACAGUUGUAUGUGUCAUACUUGAUUGAUUUAAUAAACAGUUUUUCACCUGUU